rnacentral:lncRNA from 1 species
GGCACUUACAUUUAUUUUGACUACGAGAAGUGGGGGCAGCGCAAGAAGGAGGGAUUCACCUUCGAGUAUCGAUACCUGGAGGAUCGGGACCUGCAGUGACCCAAAAACCCCAAAAAAUGCCCCAAAAAACGCCCCAAAAUCCCCCAGAAUCCAAAAAGAUUUGCAAGAGUUGGAGGAAAUGGCAAAAAACCCCGAAAAAAUGGCUCGGAAAUGAAAGAAAUGGGAAAAAAAACCCCCAAAAAGUCAAAGAAAUGGAAAAAAAAAGACCCAAAAUGGCUCAAAAAUGAAAGAAAUGGUAAAAAAAACAGCCAAAAAUGGCUCAAAAAUGAAAGAAAUGGGAAAAAAAACCCCAAAAAGUCAAAGAAAUGGAAAAAAAAAGACCCAAAAUGGCCCAAAAUUCAAAGAAAUGGAAAAAAAAAGACCCAAAAUGGCCCAAAAUUGAAAGAAAUGGGAAAAAAAACCCCAAAAUUCAAAGAAAUUGAAAAAAAAAAGACCCAAAAUGACCCAAAAUUGAAAGAAAUGGGAGAAAAAAAACCCCAAAAUGGCCCAAAAGUCAAAGAAAUUGAAAAAAUAACCCAAAAAAAUGCCCAAAAAUGAAAGAAAUGGCAAAAAAAACCCCCAAAAAUUCAAAGAAAUGGUAAAAAAACCCCAAAAUUGCCCAAAAUUGAAAGAAUUCGCAAAAAAAAAAACCCUCAAAAAACGUCAAAAAAACCCAAAAAUUCCUUCAAAAAAAAUUCAAAAAAUCCCCAAAAAAUCUCCAAACGACCCCAAAAAAAUCCAGAAAAAAACCCCAAAAAACCCCAAAAAAUUUUGGGAUGAAAAACCCAAAAUUUCUCAUUUUUACCCCAAAUUUUCCUGGGCUGAGCAAGAAAAAAAUUGGAUUUUUUUGGGGUUUAUUUUUCAUUUUUUGAGGUUUUUUUUUUCCAUUUUUUCGGGGUUUUUUUCCCAUUUUUGGAUUUUUUUUUUUUCCCUUUUCCUUUGUUGUUUUUUCCCAUUUUUUGGGUGUUUUUCCUCAUUUUUUUGGGGUAAUUUUUCCCAUUUUUUUGGGGUUGUUUUUCCCAUUUUUUUGAUUUUUUUUCCCAUUUUUGGGGUGUUUUUUCCCAUUUUUUUCCCUUUUUUUUUUGGGGGGUUGUUUUUCCCAUUUUUGGGGUUUUUUGGGGAAGGGUCUCCAAGGGUGGGGGAGGGGAUUUGGGGUCUCUUUCCCUCCCCUCCCAGCAGUUGAAGAUAUUUUUCGUAAAGUUAUUUUCAUUUUGGAAAAUAUUUAUGAAUAAAUAGUUUUAUAUCUCACCUCCUCCCGGGGGA